rnacentral:misc_RNA from 1 species
GAUGAAGAACGCAGCGAAAUGCGAUAAGUAAUGUGAAUUGCAGAAUUCAGUGAAUCAUCGAAUCUUUGAACGCACCUUGCACCCUUUGGUAUUCCGAAGGGUAUGCUCGUUUGAGUGUCAUUGUACUCUCACACUUCUAAUUCCUUUCGGGAUUGGGAGCGGUGGACUUGGGUGUUGCUGCUUUAGUUGUGGCUCACCUCAAAUAAGUUAGUGCAACUCUUGGUUGGACAUAGUACGGCGUGAUAAGUGUCUUCGCCGGCGCCUCACUCGAGGGUGGCUGAUCAGGGCUCUGUGCUCCCAAUCGUCUUCGGACAAUCACUGACAACUUGACCUCAAAUCGAGUAGGACUACCCGCUGAACUUAAGCAUAUCAAUAAGCGGAGGA